rnacentral:lncRNA from 1 species
UUUUUUUUUUUUUCCUUCCAGGCGCUUUUCCCAGCACAAACUAGAAAACAACAUACUCAGGCCGUUUGGGAGGAGAGAGCCACCGAGACAGGAUGAGAAUAGCUCCUUUCUUCAUUUACUUUGGUGAUUUCAGAGGCAGCCGACCGAUAGAGAGUUAAAUGUCCUUGCAAUAAGACAGAACGAAAAAUGCUCCCGGUUUUUGAAUAUGAAACCCAGUUAAUGAGCACCCAUUGCCUGUCUACUGUGGCCACUUCUCCAGUGCCUGCUGGGCGACCGCAUCGGCCUUCACUGAACCUUUGGCAGAGUGGAAGGAAUAUUAAUUUCUCCCUCUUUGCUCAUUCGUUUAUUAAUUCUCUGUCUCUUCUCUCUCCUUUCCCUUCAAAAAAAACAAAUUCUAUUCUGUAACCUUCACAACUGACUGGCUUCCAGGCAACUCAGCAAUUGUGGAUCUGGGCAGGGCGUUUUUAUUCCAGGCCCUUCUCAGGACAGACUGGGCCACUUAGAUCUUCUGGGGCUGUGGGACUGUCCACUGGAUUGUGCACUUAAGUAAAUACACCUUCUCGUUUGCCAACAAAGAUGCUGAAAAAGAAGCUGAUAGAACAGCACGGCAACUUUCAAUCACUUUCUGACUCAUUAAUGAACUUUUUCUCACCUCCCCCCUUCCUCAUGGAGACUUUGCCUGCCAGUUACCGUGUUUUCCCCAAGCAAUUUUAUACAAUGAGACGGUAACAGUUGUUUGUCUGAUAAAGCACGUACUAUUUAGAACACAGAUGUUUGAUUAUUAUUUAUUUCUCUCUGAAGCCCACUAAUUCAGUCCCAAAUGAUCUCUUUUUCCCUUUUGCUUAAAUUUAAUUUGGAAUGUAUGUUGUUGGUAAGUGACAGAUAGUUUAAUUAUUAAUAGGAUCCUGUAAUGCAAUGCACCGUAGUUUUAAACUCUUCGGAGGCCAACACACCACCACCUCCUUCCUCCCUCGUGCUCCUAGGACUCCUUGAUGAAUACAAAGGUAAUUACAAAAUGCAUGACAAACCUGCAUGUAUUAUCUUCUUUCUUCAACAUUUGUGCUUGCCUAUGAUUUCUAUCGAGUGCCACUCAAAUUGCAGAGCAGCCGUAAAUCAGUGCGGCCUUUGGGGUGUCCUUGUCUUUGGGACCAUGAUAUUUAUCUAGACGUGCAUAUGUAUCCAGCUGUAUUUCAUAGGUAGCUUCAUGGAUAUUAUAUUUAUAAUCCCAAUAGAAGAGUUCGACCCAAACCUCCAACUGCCUAAAAGUCAGUAUCAGGACAUCAAUAAAGAAACCACAGUGGAGCAGGUAAUCGCACAGAAAUAAAAGUAAAGCAAGAGAAAGAAAAAAAAAAAGAAGAAGAAAAAAACCCACAUGAGCAUGUCCUAUAGAAUAAAGCCAUCAGCUGGUUUUCUGCAUCUUGUUAGCUUGGCUGGAGCCAGUGGUGACAGAGCAAGCCCUGGGUUUGAGCCCUGUGUGGGCCAGUUGGUCUCACAGGCUGCCUCUCUAAUCACAGCUGCAGUCUCACAGAUGCUGACUAUUGGUCAGAAGGAGGCUAGGACCAAGGGCUGUCUAAGAAGCAGCGCAGCUCAUCACUCCAACUGAGGUGGGGAGCUCAGCGCCUGCCUGCUCACUACAGCACUGGCCACCUCUGAGGGGCACAGUUUGAGGGAGUCCUCCGAGGCUCCCAUUUUUGGGGCAUCUUAGACCUGAGCAUCAC